rnacentral:tRNA from 1 species
CAGAACAUAGCUAAGACAGCAAAGCAUCUCCCUUACACUGAGAAGUCGCCCGUGCAAAUCGGGCUGCUCUGA